GGGCCGUUAGCUCAGUCAGGCAGAGCAGAGGACUUUUAAUCCUAAGGUCGCGGGUUCGAUUCCCUCACGGCCCACCA
rnacentral:tRNA from 1 species